rnacentral:rRNA from 1 species
GACGUAGGGCGCGAGCGUUGUCCGGAUUUAUUGGGCGUAAAGAGCUCGUAGGCGGCUUGUUGCGUCGACCGUGAAAACCCGGGGCUCAACUUCGGGCUUGCGGUCGAUACGGGCAGGCUAGAGUUCGGUAGGGGAGACUGGAAUUCCUGGUGUAGCGGUGAAAUGCGCAGAUAUCAGGAAGAACACCCGUGGCGAAGGCGGCUCUCUGGGACGGUACUGACGCUGAGACGCGAAAGCGUGGGGAGCGAACAGG